rnacentral:tRNA from 1 species
GCCGGGGUGGCCGAGUCCGGAUUAAUUUACGCAUCGUAAAUUCAAUAGGCGCAGGCCUUGAGAGCCUGUGAUCCUUCGGGAUCUCGGGGGUUCAAAUCCCCUCCCCGGCGCCA